AAGUCGUAACAAGGUUUCCGUAGGUGAACCUGCGGAAGGAUCAUUAAUGAAUGAUAAUUUUUUGGGGUUUUCCCUGAAAAAUAAUCCACCAUUUGUGCAUUGUUAUUUAGAUAUACUUUGGUUAGAGCUUUGAUUUCUUUUUAUGAAGUCAACUUCUUGCUGACUCUAUCCUUUCUGAGGACAGUUGGCUAUGAAGCGGCCUACCAAGGUUUUUUAUCAAACUCUUGUAUUUUAUCUGACCUAAACUAUUAUAAUUAAAUCAUAACUUUCAACAACGGAUCUCUUGGCUCUC
rnacentral:misc_RNA from 1 species